rnacentral:lncRNA from 1 species
AAGAGAGAAAAUUUUAAAUACCACUUCUGUAAUUUUAUAUUUUUUCAUUUUAGUAUUCUAUGAUUUAAAGUGUAUCAAUUUAGUAUUUUAUGAUUUCUUUUUUAUCUUUUUUUUUUGAUCGAUUUUAUUAAUUUUUUUUGUUAAAUCAGUGACAAAAUUAAAACUAAAGAGUACUAAAGUAAACAUUUGAUAAACCUAAGUGAGAUAUCUGAAGGUUUUUGUAUAUAAUUUAAAGAAAUAUUAACGAAAAAGCUGACGAAAAGAUAAAAAUGAAACCACAGGACACUAACUUGAUUUAUGUUAAACUAUAGGGCAUUAAAGUGAGAACGUGCGAAACUACAGGGGUGAUAUUUGAAGUUUACCAAAAAAAAAAAAAAUCGAAUAAACUUCAAAUAUCAUUCAUAUAGUUUCACACUUUUUUAUUUUAGUCCUCUGUGAUUUAAAGUGUAUCAAUUUAGCAUCCUUUGGUUUUAUUUUUUUCUUUUCGUCAGCACUUUCAUGAACUUUUCGUUAAAUCAUAUACGAAAAACUUCAGAUACCUCAGCUAUAGUUUAUCGAAUAUUCACUUUAGUACUCUUUAGUUUUAACUUUAUCACUGAUUUAACGAAAAAAAUUAGUGGAAGGGAAUAAUAAAAAAAUAAAAUAAAAUCACAGGAUAGGAAAAUAAUACACUUUAAAACACAGAGUACUAAAGUGAGAAAAUGUGAAACUACAGGGAUGGUAUUUGAAGUUUUUCUAAAAAAAAUACUAUUU